UACAGAGGGUGCGAGCGUUGUUCGGAUUUACUGGGCGUAAAGGGCGCGUAGGCGGCGUGACAAGUCACUUGUGAAAUCUCUGAGCUUAACUCAGAACGGCCAAGUGAAACUGUUGUGCUAGAGUGCAGAAGGGACAAUCGGAAUUCUUGGUGUAGCGGUGAAAUGCGUAGAUAUCUGGAGGAACACCGGUGGCGAAGGCGGCAUCCUGGACCAACACUGACGCUGAGGAGCGAAAGCCAGGGGAGCAAACGGG
rnacentral:rRNA from 1 species